rnacentral:piRNA from 1 species
UGUAGAUUAAUGAUGGGACAUUACAAUGGUU